GGUCCCAGUGGCCCCCCCCUCCAGCAAACCUCCCGCCUCCCCGACGGUACUGGUCUGUCGACAAACUCCCAAUGAAGGGAGAGAAGAAGUGGAAAAGGGGAGGAAGGGGGAAGGGCAAGGGACGCGCACGAGAUAGAAACCAGGGGUCUGGGGUGUCAUGUUCAUGUAGUCAGUACCCCCACCCCCAUGUGCACCCGCACCCCCAAGGGCGGUCACACGGCCAUGGGAAGAGAGAAAGCACGGCCCUGUCCCACAGCCAGGAGGAGCUGCUCCCCCACUGCCACAGCUUCAGCGGGGGCUCACGGCCCAAACCCCCUCCCAAACCAGACCAGGGCCAGGCCAAGUCAGGCAGCCAGGCCAGCCUCAGCACACAGCAGCCAGGAGUGUUAGUGGAUCACCCCCCUCAGCCCUCCCUCUCGCCCCCUCAACCCCAACCUAGUGCCCCUUCCUCAUCCUCCUCCCUGCCGGUGCCCAUCCCUCCUCCUCCCUCCUCGUCCUCUGCCUCGGCCAGUGCUAAGCUCCUGUACCAGAGACUACGGUCAGUUCCUCAGCCCGGACGCUUCUACUCCCCCCACCUGCCACUCAAGGCAAAGAGCCUAUGCUCCCGACGAGGCUCCGCCCAUUUCUCCAGCCUGGAGAGCGAGGUAUGACAGGGGGAGACGAGAGAGGGAGACACUCGAGCCGACACUAGUGCCGCUGAAACCACUGACACCAUGGCAACUGUUACCAACGGCGGUGCCUUGGCAACGUUGGAUGCCACGGCAACUGAGACUGCUGUUAUGGUGACUACAAAUGACCCUCAGCUAGUGACCAUCGCUACAGGAACAACUAGGGAUGACUGCACCAUGGCUGUCUCCGCUGUGGGUGAUAGCGGAACCAUAGUAACCCGGUCCCUGGUGCGUGUUCUGGUGAGGGCCACGGUGAGGCGCCACACCAGGGUCACCUACAUCCGCCUGGAGGGGUCCCAUGACAUCGAGAGUGAGAGCGAGGCCAUGUCGUCUGGGGCGAUAGCAGCUCCAGAACUCCUCCUCCGGUCGGAACUGAGCUUUGUGAUGUCAUCGUCGGUCCUCCUCUCUUCCCCCAGUCAGAACAAUGGAUAAGACAAGUCUCCAAACUGUGAGUAAUGAUGUCAUGUUUACACACACACACACACACACACACACACACACAUGCUCGUCUCCCUCCCUCUGGCUCUGACUGAACACACCUCGUUGGUAGCGGAGAGACCGGCCUGCUCCUGUAAGGAUCCAACGCCUGUUUAACACUCCCACAGACUCUAGCUCUCCUGUCCCCAUUGGCUGAGGGACAUGUCACAUCAACCCACUUUUGAAUUGUAUUGGUAGACUGCAUCCUCACGUUGGAGAGACCCCCCCCCUUCAUCUCUCUCCCCUUUUGUAUGUUGGUUGAUAUAAAAGCAAUGCAGUCGCCUCUCUCUUACACACGCUCUGUCUGGCUUCUCAUCUCUCAUUGGCCAGGGAGGACAGUGACAUGACUUUGACCUCAUGACAUCUUCAGGGCCAUCUAGUGCGACCGAAGCCCCCCGGAAGGGAAGGAUACCAACCCCCAUGAUGUCAUGUUUACUACAAACCCUUUUGUCCAAUUAGAUUUAACAGGAGACUUUCUCCGCCACCUCAUCGGAGCCUGUCCUUUCUCCUCUGGUCCGAUCAGAACUCAGAACAGAGACUCUUGUCAUUCCGCUGACGAGCACGAUGACAUCACUGUGUUCCAGACACAAACGGAACAUUCUGAAGAAAAAAAGACACGUAGCGAGAUCUUUAUUUCCCGUCUUUUUCUUUCUUUCUUUCUUCUCCUGAAAGCUUCUUAGUUAUUCUAUCUCUGUGUUGUUCUGUUAGUAUUUCAGGCAGCAGGGAGGUCGGCUGGGGCUUAGUUAUUCUAUCCAUGUGUUGUUCUGUUAGUAUUUCAGGCAGCAGGGAGGUCGGCUGGGGCUUAGUUAUUCUAUCCAUGUGUUGUUCUGUUAGUAUUUCAGGCAGCAGGGAGGUCGGCUGGGGCUUAGUUAUUCUAUCUCUGUGUUGUUCUGUUAGUAUUUCAGGCAGCAGGGAGGUCGGCUGGGGCUUAGUUAUUCUAUCUCUGUGUUGUUUAUGUUAGUAUUUCAGGCAGCAGGGAGGUCGGCUGGGGCUUAGUUAUUCUAUCUCUGUGUUGUUCUGUUAGUAUUUCAGGCAGCAGGGAGGUCGGCUGGGGCUUAGUUAUUCUAUCCAUGUGUUGUUCUGUUAGUAUUUCAGGCAGCAGGGAGGUCGGCUGGGGCUUAGUUAUUCUAUCCAUGUGUUGUUCUGUUAGUAUUUCAGGCAGCAGGGAGGUCGGCUGGGGCUUAGUUAUUCUAUCUCUGUGUUGUUCUGUUAGUAUUUCAGGCAGCAGGGAGGUCGGCUGGGGCUUAGUUAUUCUAUCUCUGUGUUGUUCUGUUAGUAUUUCAGGCAGCAGGGAGGUCGGCUGGGGCUUAGUUAUUCUAUCUCUGUGUUGUUCUGUUAGUAUUUCAGGCAGCAGGGAGGUCGGCUGGGGCUUAGUUAUUCUAUCUCUGUGUUGUUCUGUUAGUAUUUCAGGCAGCAGGGAGGUCGGCUGGGGCUUAGUUAUUCUAUCUCUGUGUUGUUCUGUUAGUAUUUCAGGCAGCAGGGAGGUCGGCUGGGGCUUAGUUAUUCUAUCCAUGUGUUGUUCUGUUAGUAUUUCAGGCAGCAGGGAGGUCGGCUGGGGCUUAGUUAUUCUAUCCAUGUGUUGUUCUGUUAGUAUUUCAGGCAGCAGGGAGGUCGGCUGGGGCUUAGUUAUUCUAUCUCUGUGUUGUUCUGUUAGUAUUUCAGGCAGCAGGGAGGUCGGCUGGGGCUUAGUUAUUCUAUCUCUGUGUUGUUCUGUUAGUAUUUCAGGCAGCAGGGAGGUCGGCUGGGGCUUAGUUAUUCUAUCUCUGUGUUGUUCUGUUAGUAUUUCAGGCAGCAGGGAGGUCGGCUGGGGCUUAGUUAUUCUAUCCAUGUGUUGUUCUGUUAGUAUUUCAGGCAGCAGGGAGGUCGGCUGGGGCUUAGUUAUUCUAUCCAUGUGUUGUUCUGUUAGUAUUUCAGGCAGCAGGGAGGUCGGCUGGGGCUUAGUUAUUCUAUCCAUGUGUUGUUCUGUUAGUAUUUCAGGCAGCAGGGAGGUCGGCUGGGGCUUAGUUAUUCUAUCCAUGUGUUGUUCUGUUAGUAUUUCAGGCAGCAGGGAGGUCGGCUGGGGCUUAUUUAUUCUAUCCAUGUGUUGUUCUGUUAGUAUUUCAGGCAGCAGGGAGGUCGGCUGGGGCUUAGUUAUUCUAUCUCUGUGUUGUUUAUGUUAGUAUUUCAGGCAGCAGGGAGGUCGGCUGGGGCUUAGUUAUUCUAUCUCUGUGUUGUUCUGUUAGUAUUUCAGGCAGCAGGGAGGUCGGCUGGGGCUUAGUUAUUCUAUCUCUGUGUUGUUCUGUUAGUAUUUCAGGCAGCAGGGAGGUCGGCUGGGGCUUAGUUAUUCUAUCUCUGUGUUGUUCUGUUAGUAUUUCAGGCAGCAGGGAGGUCGGCUGGGGCUUAGUUAUUCUAUCUCUGUGUUGUUCUGUUAGUAUUUCAGGCAGCAGGGAGGUCGGCUGGGGCUUAGUUAUUCUAUCCAUGUGUUGUUCUGUUAGUAUUUCAGGCAGCAGGGAGGUCGGCUGGGGCUUAGUUAUUCUAUCUCUGUGUUGUUUAUGUUAGUAUUUCAGGCAGCAGGGAGGUCGGCUGGGGCUUAGUUAUUCUAUCUCUGUGUUGUUCUGUUAGUAUUUCAGGCAGCAGGGAGGUCGGCUGGGGCUUAGUUAUUCUAUCUCUGUGUUGUUCUGUUAGUAUUUCAGGCAGCAGGGAGGUCGGCUGGGGCUUAGUUAUUCUAUCCAUGUGUUGUUUAUGUUAGUAUUUCAGGCAGCAGGGAGGUCGGCUGGGGCUUAGUUAUUCUAUCUCUGUGUUGUUUAUGUUAGUAUUUCAGGCAGCAGGGAGGUCGGCUGGGGCUUAGUUAUUCUAUCUCUGUGUUGUUUAUGUUAGUAUUUCAGGCAGCAGGGAGGUCGGCUGGGGCUUAGUUAUUCUAUCUCUGUGUUGUUUAUGUUAGUAUUUCAGGCAGCAGGGAGGUCGGCUGGGGCUUAGUUAUUCUAUCUCUGUGUUGUUUAUGUUAGUAUUUCAGGCAGCAGGGAGGUCGGCUGGGGCUUAGUUAUUCUAUCUCUGUGUUGUUCUGUUAGUAUUUCAGGCAGCAGGGAGGUCGGCUGGGGCUUAGUUAUUCUAUCUCUGUGUUGUUCUGUUAGUAUUUCAGGCAGCAGGGAGGUCGGCUGGGGCUUAGUUAUUCUAUCUCUGUGUUGUUUAUGUUAGUAUUUCAGGCAGCAGGGAGGUCGGCUGGGGCUUAGUUAUUCUAUCUCUGUGUUGUUCUGUUAGUAUUUCAGGCAGCAGGGAGGUCGGCUGGGGCUUAGUUAUUCUAUCUCUGUGUUGUUCUGUUAGUAUUUCAGGCAGCAGGGAGGUCGGCUGGGGCUGAACUUGGACGUGAGAAACGUUUGGAAAGCAGUGCCAAAUUUCUACUCCACAGCUUUUAAGCCAAAUUGGUUUCCAGUCAUCUGUUUUCAUGACUAUAUCCGUAUAGUAUUUCACACGUGAGCAAUACAACAUUCUCUAUUAGGAGAGAGGAUGGAGGAAAUGAUUGGUUGCAAUAUCUACAGUUGGCACUAGAUGGCUGCAUAAUAUUCAAAUAAGCUUGAGAGGACUGAGUGAGAAAAUCUCUGAGCUGAGUCCAUUUGACAUUACAUUGAAGAUGUAAAACAUUCCGUUAUUAUGUGGAGGAAUCAGGACAGCUUAGCUUUAGUCAUUUGGAGUCAUUGAAACCCUGAGCAGUGUAUUUGAAAAUAGUUGUCAUGGCCUUUCAUUCCCUCCUGCUUGUGAGACCCACUCACCAGUGUGAAGGAGAUGCAUCUUAUGAAGCACAAUUGGUCAUCGCAUAAAGCCAUAAGCCAUAAGCCCUCAACGUGCCGUCAUUACAGCACACAAUAGUUAUUAUACCAUGGUGAAGAACAAUACUGUGCCAAUACCUGACUACUGUCAUUAUUAGAAAUGUAGUUUCACAGCAAGACGGAUGUAGUAAUACCACUGUGAGGGGAAUACUAUGUGGGAGUGGAGUCUACUAUGUGGGACAUAGAGAUGUAACUGUGUUCUGUCAUUAAAAAAGUCAUCAAUAGCAAUAUUGCCCUCUUUAAUGUGAUGAUAAUACAAUGGCAGACUGAGAGUACUUGGAGUGCUGAGUUAUGUGACAACCUGUAGGCCUGUUGGCUUGUUCCCCGGGGUGGACCUAGGCCAGGCACUGUUCAGAUCCACUCAUCUCUACACAAUACAGAUAUGUGAGGAACUAGUAGAACUAGUAGUGUGUAAGUGCAGGUGAUCAGGUCAGAUCAGAUCCUCUCAUCUCUACACAAUACAGAUCUGUGAAGAACUAGUAGAACUAGUAGUGUGUAAGUGCAGGUGAUCAGGUCAGAUCAGAUCAGAUCCACUCAUCUCUACACAAUACAGAUCUGUGAAGAACUAGUAGAACUAGUAGUGUGUAAGUGCAGGUGAUCAGGUCAGAUCAGAUCAGAUCCACUCAUCUCUACACAAUACAGAUCUGUGAGGAACUAGAAGAACUAGUAGUGUGUAAGUGCAGGUGAUCAGGUCAGAUCAGAUCAGAUCCACUCAUCUCUACACAAUACAGAUCUGUGAGGAACUAGAAGAACUAGUAGUGUGUAAGUGCAGGUGAUCAGGUCAGAUCAGAUCAGAUCAGAUCCACUCAUCUCUACACAAUACAGAUAUGUGAGGAACUAGUAGAACUAGUAGUGUGUAAGUGCAGGUGAUCAGGUCAGAUCAGAUCAGAUCAGAUCCAUUCAUCUCUACACAAUACAGAUAUGUGAAGAACUAGUAGAACUAGUAGUGUGUAAGUGCAGGUGAUCAGGUCAGAUCAGAUCAGAUCAGAUCCAUUCAUCUCUACACAAUACAGAUCUGUGAGGAACUAGAAGAACUAGUAGUGUGUAAGUGCAGGUGAUCAGGUCAGAUCAGAUCAGAUCAGAUCCACUCAUCUCUACACAAUACAGAUAUGUGAGGAACUAGUAGAACUAGUAGUGUGUAAGUGCAGGUGAUCAGGUCAGAUCAGAUCAGAUCAGAUCCAUUCAUCUCUACACAAUACAGAUAUGUGAGGAACUAGUAGAACUAGUAGUGUGUAAGUGCAGGUGAUCAGAUCAGAUCAGGUCAUCUGAACAGUACCCUGCUCAGCUACACCUUAUGAACAACUCAACAGGUGUCAAACAGAGAAUAAACAGACAGUGCAUUAAAGUGCCAAAAUACAUUGUUAAACCAAAACUAUAGUCCGUACCAUGCUUUGGUGUAUCUGUGUGGGUCAUCUAAAAGAGCUGUGUCAUGCAGCGUCAUGCUCUCCAUGGGUAUGACGUAUUCACCUCAGCUCUCUCACUCUGAGACCAGCCCACAGCCGAACCCCCAGCUUCUCCUAGUUGAAUGUAGCUUUGACAUGAUGUAGAACUUUUAGACUUUGUAUUCCUUUUUGGAUGCUGUUGAUCCUGGCUGGAAUGGAGGGCUUGAUGGGGCUAUGUGAGGGACUAUGUGGUCGAGUUGGGUUUGUGCAUGUUGUCAUAGAUCAAAAGGUUGGACGGUCUUUUGAGUUACUUUUCUCUACUGCACAUACUGCUUUGUCAAGGGGCCAUAUUUUGGAAACAAUUUAUCAUAGUUAUAGAGAGAUGUUUUGUUGUCCCCAUGAUCCUUCUGCCCCCUUACACCUUGGAAAAGCCCAGAAAUCAUUGCAUGUUUAGACGAUUGAAAUCCCAGAGGCUUGCAGUGGAGGGGUUUGUGUAGCUGUACUCUAGCUAAAGCUUAGGACCCAGGGCGGCCAUCUUUCCUUGAGGUAGCUCGCUCGUCCCAGCGCCCCAACAGUGGAAACCGUGGAAACAGUUCUACUGUUUGGAAUGAGGUCAUUUUAAACCAAUCAGUAGUGCUGAAGCCUGUUGUCAUCGAGCAUCAUUGAGUUGUAUCAAGGCGCUAAUACUGAAGUCUGUGACUGCAUGAACAGAAGUGACUUUUAAAACCUUGUAGCUAAAUUUUUUGCUGAGAAUUAAAGAAUAUAUUAAUAUAUACUAUGUUUUUGAGAAUGUACCAUGUUAUACUGUGAUUUAACUUAGAUAUUUUAUUGACUAUUGUAUUCAAUUUUAUCAUUUAAAAAUUCUAUCAUUUAUCUAUACAGAAAUAUAUAUGUACAAAUAAAUAUAUACAUAUAUAUAUACAUACAUACAGGUGUGUGUGUAUAUAUAUAUAUAUGAGUUAAGUUUGGUACACUUGGAGGAAGUGUUAGAUGAUUAGUUUUAAAUGUUUUAGCUUUGUAGCAAUUCUAGACACUGAAAUCAUUUUGAAUUUGGAUACCUCCUAUAUGACUGUGAAGACAUUAGUGCCUGUGACAAAAAAAGAUGAGAAAAAAGUCUAAUCUCUCUACCAUCUACCUGUAUCUAAUAUAUCUAUCAGUCUGUCACUCUAACUGUUGUACUACCUAACAUUAUAUAUAUUUGUUUUGUUAUUUCUAUUCAUAAUAUUUCUCUAUCUAUCCCUCUCUCUCUAUGCCUCUCUCUCUCUCUCUCUGUCUCUCCAUCUCUCUCUCUCUUAUUUAGCUGUUCGUUCCACACUAGUCUUUUCACCUCUAAAUCUGUCAUUUACUUCCAUUUUCCUUUAGUUUAGUUUAUUUGAUCAUCUUUCUAUUUCAAUCUGUCUAUCCCUCCGUCUGUCUCUCACUUAGCAAAAAAUCCCAGAGACCAGUAGAUACUGUGUUCUUGCUCCUUUUGACUGAUUGUUGAAGAUGAUGAUCAAUUAAUUGAUUGAUUAGUGAAUUAAUGAAUUAACAAUGUUAUUAACGAUGUGAUUGAAGUGUGCAUCUGACGACCAUGCCACUGUAGCAAGUCUGGGCUGUACCAAACUGCCUGGCAGCAACAUAAACCUUAGUUGCUAUGUUGCAGUGGUGUUGCCAUGGCGUUUCUAUGGCGUCCGGUACACCACCCCCACCUGGUGCUUGCUGGGUAAUGUAAUGUAGCAUAAUGUCCUUCAUGUUGCCCUCAAGCUCUGGUCUAGGAUCUGCUCUCCCUCAACCAUUCCUAACCAUCAUCAUUGGGCAUUGAACAAUUAAACCUGACCUUGGAACAGUGUUUGAAGGUUAACUUGGUGGUGUUGCACUGCAUGUGUCUGCUCUCUAUACUACUUACAUCUUAAACUGGACUGAACUGGACUGAUGACUGGCUGACUGGCUGACUAUGGAAAUGUGAUGUGCUAUCAAUCAUUUUGUCAAGAAAAAAUUACUUUUGUUGGGCUAUGUUUUUAUUGUGGGGGAGGGGGGGGGUGCAUGCUUGUGUGUGUGUGUGCAUACUGAAAACACACGGUUUGAACUGUGCUGUUCUGCAUAGUGUGAUAUUGUACAGCAUAGUGGAUAACACCGGGAUGGUGCUGUAAAGUGGCUGGUAGUGAUACUGCAUAGUCAGAAAUAUCUGGAGGUCAUUAGGAAUGUGUGUGCAUGUUUGUGUGUAUGUUUGUGUGUAUGUUUGUGUGUAUGUUUGUGUAUAUGCGACUGUGAUUUUGUUUGAAAGUGUUGUGCUGCACAGUCAUGUGUGUAUGUACAUUUUAGUAUGUGAGUGUGUGUGUGUGUGUGUUAUUGAAUGUAUGUAACCCCACUGCGGCAUGAUUCUAUAUAAUACCACGCAAGCACACACAAACACACACAGUCCCCCUUGCACACACACUCUUAUACACAUACACACACACACAGUGCUCUGCAUGCAUAUUUAAUACACACACAUACAUCACUCAGCCAAUGGAUCUCAUCGUUCCUCGUUCCUGGAGCUCCCACUGAGCAACACUCUGUAGCAACGCGUCAAUAACUCCCCCAUCACACACACACACACACACACACACACACACACACACACACACACACACACACACACACACACACACACACACACACACACACACACACACACACACACACACACACACACACACACACACACACACACACGCUCUGAAUGAUUGGAUCAUCAAGGUUAACAUAUUACUCUGCUUACUAUACCUUAUCAAUCUCAUGUCUGUGCAGAGUAAGGUUGUGCUGUUCAAUUAUGUUGGAUAGAAAAAUAAAUAUAUACAUUUUAGAUAAUCUUGGCUACAGAACUUAAUUACAUAAUUGUUUUGAGUUGUCUGUUUUCUUUUGACUUAUCUCUCCUUACUCUGUGUGGGAUAAGAUAUGUGAUAAGAUAUAUGAUAAGAUAUAUGAUAAGAUAUAUGAUAAGAUAUGUGGUAAGUUAUGUAAUAAGAUAUGUGAUAUGUGAUAAGAUAUAUGAUAAGAUAUGUGAUAUGUAAUAAGAUAUGUAAUAAGAUAUGUGAUAUGUGAUAAGAUAUAUGAUAAGAUAUGUGAGGGAGAACUGUGUUUCACUGGUCUGUAUUCUGCCUUUCAGUGCUGCUCUGUUUACAUGAGUUAAAUGCUAUUUUUGUUUCUUACAGUCUGACGUCCAUGUCUUCAGUCCACUCUAAGAUCAAAGUAGACCACGAGUUCUGAUCAGUCAUUGGUCCAUGGUCAUGAUUCAUCCUUACGUUUCAGUUUUCUGUCACCUUUGACCCGAGAAGUAAAAUGCAUGGCACUCCCGAGUUCAAACAGGGUCCUCAUCGGCGUUUCGCCAUGAAACAAUUUCAAGGAAAAAUAGGAGUGGUAUGUGUUGCACUCACCAGGCCUAGUGACAUAAGAGCUACAUCUAAACAGGAUGCUAGGUUAAGUCAUUACAAAGCUCAUUCACUGUGGUCCAUACAGGUAUCAUAGGACCACUACUUUCAGUCAUUCACUCAAAUGGAAUUCAGUGUCACUGAUCCACCUAACAGUGUUUUAGCCUGGUGACUGUCCUCCAUCUGUUUCUGCGUUCCAAAAUCUAGUGGCACUAUAUAUAAUAGUGUUGAGAUACGUUUGCUAAAGCAGAAAGAGACUGGCAACCAGGCUAUCAUUGCUGUGCUCUUGGAACAGCACCUAGAAACCAUCAUGAUUGUGUAGUGUACCUGUGUAUACCUGUAUACUUGUGGGUGGCUAAGGUGGGUUGCUAAGGCAGGUUGCUAAGGCUGUUGGUAGUGUACAGCCCAGACUGGUCUGGUCCAUACCCUGAUCUAAAUGAGUUAGUUUGUUUUGACGUGGUCUGUCUGGGGGUGGGGCUGGCGGGUCAGUGCUGCACUUACUUCCUGAGAAUUGCUUCAUAAAAAUAUGAUUAUCUUUAAAUAA